UACGGGGGGGGCAAGCGUUGUUCGGAAUUACUGGGCGUAAAGGGUUCGUAGGUGGCUCGCUAAGCCAGACGUGAAAUCCCUCAGCUUAACUGGGGAACUGCGUCUGGGACUGGCGAGCUCGAGUGCGGGAGAGGAAUGCGGAAUUCCAGGUGUAGCGGUGAAAUGCGUAGAUAUCUGGAGGAACACCGGUGGCGAAGGCGGCAUUCUGGACUGCAACUGACACUGAGGAACGAAAGCGUGGGGAGCAAACAGG
rnacentral:rRNA from 1 species